UCCUACGGGGGGCAGCAGUGGGGAAUAUUGCACAAUGGGGGAAACCCUGAUGCAGCGACGCCGCGUGAAGGAAGAAGUAUUUCGGUAUGUAAACUUCUAUCAGCAGGGAAGAAAAUGACGGUACCUGACUAAGAGGCCCCGGCUAACUACGUGCCAGCAGCCGCGGUAAUACGUAGGGGGCAAGCGUUAUCCGGAUUUACUGGGUGUAAAGGGAGCGUAGGCGGCGAUGCAAGUCAGAAGUGAAAGCCCGGGGCUCAACCCCGGGACUGCAUUGAAAACUACCGAACUAGAGUGUCGGAGAGGUA
rnacentral:rRNA from 1 species